rnacentral:rRNA from 1 species
GACGAACGCUGGCGGCGUGCUUAACACAUGCAAGUCGAACGGGCCUGUCUUCUUUUUUGGGGGUGGGUUGAGUGGCGAACGGGUGAGUAUCACGUGAGUAACCUGCCCUUCGGUCCUGGAUAACCGCUUGAAAGGGCGGCUAAUACGGGGUGGUCCGGUUGGUCCGCAUGGGCUGGUCGGGAUAGAUUCACUGUUUUUGGUGUUUCGGCGGGGGAUGGGCUCGCGGCCUAUCAGCUUGUUGGUGGGGUGAUGGCCUACCAAGGCGGUGUCGGGUAGCCGGCCUGAGAGGGUGGGCGGCCACACUGGGACUGAGAUACGGCCCAGACUCCUGCGGGAGGCAGCAGUGGGGGGUAUUGCACAAUGGGCGGAAGCCUGAUGCAGCGACGUCGCGUGAGGGAGGGAGGCCUUCGGGUUGUGAACCUCUGUUUCCGGUGGUGAAGGCCCUGUCCGUGUGGUGGGGUUGACGGUAGCCGGGGAUGAAGCGCCGGCUAACUACGUG